rnacentral:rRNA from 1 species
GACCAGACUCCUACGGGAGGCAGCAGUGGGGAAUAUUGGACAAUGGGGGGAACCCUGAUCCAGCGACGCCGCGUGAGUGAAGAAGUAUUUCGGUAUGUAAAGCUCUAUCAGCAGGGAAGAAAGAAAUGACGGUACCUGACUAAGAAGCCCCGGCUAACUACGUGCCAGCAGCCGCGGUAAUACGUAGGGGGCAAGCGUUAUCCGGAUUUACUGGGUGUAAAGGGAGCGUAGACGGCAGUGCAAGUCUGAAGUGAAAGGCGGGGGCCCAACCCCCGGACUGCUUUGGAAACUGUGCUGCUGGAGUGCAGGAGAGGCAAGUGGAAUUCCUAGUGUAGCGGUGAAAUGCGUAGAUAUUAGGAGGAACACCGGUGGCGAAGGCGGCCUGCUGGACUGCAACUGACGUUGAGGCCCGAAAGCGUGGGGAGCAAACAGGAUUAGAUACCCCGGUAAC